AAUAUUGUACAAUGUGCGAAAGCCUGAUGCAGCAACGCCGCGUGAGUGAUGAAGGCCUUCGGUUCGUAAAGCUCUUUUUAUAGGGAAGAUAAUGACGGUACCUGAUAAACAAGCUACGUCUAACUACGUGCCAGCAGCCGCGGUAAUACGUAGGUGGCGAGCGUUGUCCGGAAUUACUGGGCGUAAAGGGUGCGUAGGUGGAUAUGUAAGUGGGAUGUGAAAUCCCCGGGCUCAACCCCGGAACUGCAUCCCAAACUAGAUAUCUAGAGUGCGAGAGAGGAGAGCGGAAUUCCUAGUGUAGCGGUGAAAUGCGUAGAUAUUAGGAGGAACACCAGUGGCGAAGGCGGCUUUCUGGACUGUAACUGACACUGAGGCAUGAAAGCGUGGGUAGCAAACAGG
rnacentral:rRNA from 1 species